UCGGUGACUGGGUCAGCCGACUGUCACCUGGGGCACUCAUACCCUGACCGCCUGGGCGGCAGGCAACUCGGAAAGUAUGCCUGGCAUCUUUGUAAGGGUAACACGACACAAAAUCAGGCGGACCAGGUAAGCCGAGAGCACGUCCAGCAGAGGAGAACCUAAGCCGAGUGAACGACCGUAAGCGGCACGACCGUACAAUACCGAGAUCUCUAAAUGAGUCAACAACAUCAAGACAAGGGACGAGAACGUCCCUUUGGGAGAAUAUUAAAUUUGUAAAGGUAAUCGGGCUCAGGCAAGGACUUGAAGCUACAAAUUUGAAAUCUGAAGAGCAAAUGUUACACGCAGACGAAUUUUGUGACACAGACGCUUCUUAAAUUGCUGUCUCUAGGAAUUUCUGGUUGAAGUAAAAGUUCAGGACUGCUAUCUCAAAGUAAAAAAAUGAGUGGUUCACGACCAAAUGAAACACAAGGGGUAUAAAACUGAGCCAGAUCUGCAGUCCUUCAUUUAUUGUAGCAAAGACUGGAAAGCACAGACGGAAAAUGAAGGAUGUGGGUUUUUCAAAAUUAGUAGAGACCAGAUUUGAUUGGGGAAGAAUCAAAAUCUGAAAAUCUUGACUACAGACAUGAAAAAAUAAACCAAGAAAAUCCGCAAAACAGGAGACAUACAUGCUGAUCCGUUGACAUGGGAACAGCUCUGAGCCUGGGGAGACACAUCUGCUCCUGGCAGCACCAAUCUGCUUCAUAUGAAGCUUCAUCUGCUUCAUAAUAUGGGCAUUGAAGAAUCUCCAUAUGGCGUUUGCUUUCAUUGUGGCAAAGCAGCUACUUUGGUAAACAGCAACAGUGGUGCAGAUGAAAUGCAGAACCCAAGUUUAAUCCUGAAACAUAACGGAAAGAACUAACUCUGGCCUCCACACACAACCCUGAAAUAAAUCCGUGUUAGCUUUUGUCUUUCCAGUCAGGGUUUCUCUGUGUAGGCAUGACUGCCCUGGAACUCACUCCGUAGAACAAGGCUGCCUCUGCUUCCUGAGUGUUGGGAUUAAAGGUGUAUGCCACCACUGCCUGGCUAUACAUGUAAUUAAAAAAAAAAAAAAAAAGAACUAUUGGGAUGAUUCAGCCACUCAGCCUAAUGACCUGAAUGUGACCUCAAGAAUCCACAUAGCAGAAAGUAAGAACUGACCCCUGAACUCUGUCCUUUGAUUUCUACAUCCAUACUGUGGCACAAUCAGAUUAUAAACACAAACUAAAAUAAAUAGUUAUAACAAAACCAAACAUAUCAACACAAAAUGCAUCAAAAAAUGUUGAGAGCAUUUUAGAAUAGAAACAAUCAAAACAUCAACUGAUGAUGGUAAAUGUGGUCAAUUGCUUUGAAAAAAAGAGAAGCAAGAAAUUUACUAGCUGUCAGUGACACUCCUGCUAAACAAGCUCUGUUAUUUAACCACCAUUGAGUGGUGUUUAAGUCAGAACUGAUUUAACCUGACUUGCAUCUACUUCAUUAAGGAAAACAAAAAAGAAUGGUGAAUGGAGCUCUGGACUUAUAUGUGAAUGGUUACCCCUAAUGUGGCCAGCAAGGUACACAUUGUCUAAAAUUGUUGAACUGUCAGGAAGAGGCUGACUUAGUGGUCUAUGCUUGUAAUCCCAGCAUUUAGGAACUAGACCAGUUACGGGCCAGACUGAAAUAGGUAGUGAAUAGGCCUUUUCUCAAAUACUGUACAGACAAAUCUGCCUGCUUUUAUGAUGAGUGUGUGGGACCGAUCUCAACAUGGUAGCGAAGCAGGAAUCCCUGAAAAAUGCUCUGGGCGCUGAAGACAAGAUCUCAUUCCUUUUCUGUGCUUAGGCCAAGUAGUCCGUUACUGGACAGUGCUCUCAAAUGUGCUUUGGGCCCCUACUGCUUAACCUCAGUACCAUACCCUUCCUUCUGCUAACAGCCAUUAGAGUCUCCAGAUAUUGUCAAAUGUCUCAUCAGAUUCAAGAGUGACAAGAUUGAGACCCACUGGGCUAGUUGAUAAAUCAAUAGUCUAGUUUUCUAUUAAAUAUUAGUAAGUGGCCAAGCUUUGAUCUAGCACAUCCUGAUCUUUGUUUUUGGUAGUGAGCUGUAUUACCUGUUUUAUCAUCUCUUAUUAAAUAUUUUACACAUUUAUUA